rnacentral:tRNA from 1 species
GCCAUGGUAGUUCAGAUGGGAGAACGCUAGACUGAAGAUCUAGAUGUCGCUGGUUCAAGUCCGGCCCAUGGCACUA